rnacentral:rRNA from 1 species
GACAGAGGCCUCGAGCGUUAGGCGGAAUCACUGGGCUUAAAGCGUGUGUAGGCGGAUCGUUAAGUACCUUGUGAAGUCCCACGGCUCAACCGUGGAACGGCUGGGUAUACUGGCGGUCUUGGGCCAUUCAGGGGCGACUGGAACAAGCGGUGGAGCGGUGAAAUGCGUAGAUAUCGCUUGGAACGCCGAAGGUGAAAACAGGUCGCUGGGGAUGUGCCGACGCUGAGACACGAAAGCCAGGGGAGCAAACGGG